UUAUAAGUUUGUCAGAUAUAACUUUGGCUCUUAAUAAGUUUCAGCUACAGCUGUUUAUGGAAGACUGAUUUUGCAAUGACUGACACGCACAUCCUUGGAGCCCCAUCUACUCAGCACUUAAGCAGCAUUACACAGCAACAGAGCUGCUGGCAAGAGCAUUGGAAAAGAUCAUCUUUUUUGCUUCUGUGUUCCAG